rnacentral:rRNA from 1 species
CUGCGGCAGCGAACGUAUCACUUAAAGCGAUUCAGCGGGUUACGAUUGACGGAGCGAAGCGACGUCAAAGCGUAUACAAAGUCGAGUCGGUUUAAGGAUACGUUCGUUGGGUAGGGGAGCGUUCUGUAAGCCUGCGAAGGUGGCCUGUGAGGGUUGCUGGAGGUAUCAGAAGUGCGAAUGCUGACAUAAGUAACGAUAAAGCGGGUGAAAAGCCCGCUCGCCGGAAGACCAAGGGUUCCUGUCCAACGUUAAUCGGGGCAGGGUGAGUCGACCCCUAAGGCGAGGCCGAAAGGCGUAGUCGAUGGGAAACGGGUUAAUAUUCCCGUACUUGGUGUUACUGCGAAGGGGGGACGGAGAAGGCUAUGUUGGCCGGGCGACGGUUGUCCCGGUUUAAGCGUGUAGGUGUGUGUUCCAGGUAAAUCCGGUUCACUUUAACACUGAGGCGUGACGACGAGGCACUACGGUGCUGAAGCAACAAAUGCCCUGCUUCCAAGAAAAGCCUCUAAGCAUCAGGUAACAUCAAAUCGUACCCCAAACCGACACAGGUGGUCAGGUAGAGAAUACCAAGGCGCUUGAGAGAACUCGGGUGAAGGAACUAGGCAAAAUGGUGCCGUAACUUCGGGAGAA